GGCGGGGGGUCUAUCUGCAGUCGUGCGGACCUUUUAAAGCUUGCUUUUAAAAGGUUAGCGGCGGACGGGUGAGUAACACGUGGGCAACCUGCCUGUAAGAUCGGGAUAACGCCGGGAAACCGGGGCUAAUACCGGAUAGUUUUUUCCUCCGCAUGGAGGAAAAAGGAAAGACGGCUUCGGCUGUCACUUACAGAUGGGCCCGCGGCGCAUUAGCUAGUUGGUGGGGUAACGGCUCACCAAGGCAACGAUGCGUAGCCGACCUGAGAGGGUGAUCGGCCACAUUGGGACUGAGACACGGCCCAAACUCCUACGGGAGGCAGCAGUAGGGAAUCUUCCGCAAUGGACGAAAGUCUGACGGAGCAACGCCGCGUGAGUGAAGAAGGCCUUCGGGUCGUAAAACUCUGUUGCCGGGGAAGAACAAGUGCCGUUCGAACAGGGCGGCGCCUUGACGGUACCCGGCCAGAAAGCCACGGCUAACUACGUGCCAGCAGCCGCGGUAAUACGUAGGUGGCAAGCGUUGUCCGGAAUUAUUGGGCGUAAAGCGCGCGCAGGCGGCUUCUUAAGUCUGAUGUGAAAUCUUGCGGCUCAACCGCAAGCGGUCAUUGGAAACUGGGAGGCUUGAGUGCAGAAGAGGAGAGUGGAAUUCCACGUGUAGCGGUGAAAUGCGUAGAGAUGUGGAGGAACACCAGUGGCGAAGGCGGCUCUCUGGUCUGUAACUGACGCUGAGGCGCGAAAGCGUGGGGAGCAAACAGGAUUAGAUACCCUGGUAGUCCACGCCGUAAACGAUGAGUGCUAAGUGUUAGAGGGUUUCCGCCCUUUAGUGCUGCAGCUAACGCAUUAAGCACUCCGCCUGGGGAGUACGGCCGCAAGGCUGAAACUCAAAGGAAUUGACGGGGGCCCGCACAAGCGGUGGAGCAUGUGGGUUUAAUUCGAAGCAACGCGAAAGAAACCUUACCAGGUCUUGACAUCCCUCUGAUCCUCCCUGGAGACAGGGGCCUUUCCCCUUUCGGGGGGACAGAGUGACAGGUGGUGCAUGGUUGUCGUCAGCUCGUGUCGUGAGAUGUGGUUAAGGUCCCCGCACGAAGCGCACCCUGACCCUUAGUUGCCAGCAUUCAGCUGGGCACUCUACGGUGACUGACUGUGACAACGGAAGAGGUGCGGAAUGAACGGUCCAAAAUCCAAUUCCAGUGGC
rnacentral:rRNA from 1 species